CCUUAACAGGAUCGCAGAUGUCUCAGCCACAGACCCAGUCUGACCAUCAGAUCCAAACCCAAACCCAUCCUGACCAGCAGAUCGAGACCCAGCCUGACCAGCAGGUCCAGACCCAGCCUGACCAGCAGAUCCACACUAAAGCUCAGCAGAUUGAUGAUGGUGUCAUCCUCAACCUCUACUUUUUGCCCUCUCCACCCCAGACUCACCCUGAAGCUCAGCAGCUCCAGAUUAAGGCUGAAGGCCAUACUCAACCCCAGCCCCAUCCUCAGCAUAAACCUAUCCUACCAAAGCCCCGUAAAAGAAAACAAGAGUCCCAACCCCCAGAGUCUCCGGUCCACCAUCAGCCCCAGAUACAGGGCCAGCCCCAGCCUCAGCAAAUUCAGCUGCUGACUGCCAAGCCAAACCCCAAAAAAAAAAAAAAUGGUAAAGUAAACUUUCUUGCAGCCAAUCUCUUAUGCAGAAUUCAUUACGGUUUGCAUAAACACUAUGUACUUUCUGAUGUAAUACUAGUGAAAAGAGCUUUAUUGGCACUACUAGAAAAUUGCAAUUGGUGUUUGAUGACAUUACAGUAAGCAAUGCCAUGCUGUAAAGGUGAAGUGAAUUUUCUUAUUGGCCAAUUUAUAAUUUAUUUAUUUAUAUUUUUGUAAUUAGGCAAAUACUUUUGUCAUCAGAUGAAUUGGUUCUGUUUGAUUUAGAUAAUUUUGAUACAACAGUUAGGUCAAG
ensembl:lncRNA